AUUUUCGGUCGGUUUCCGGUUUCCAUCAGGCCGUUAAUCGACCGGUGCUUGUAUGGAAAGCGUUGAUAGUCUGUUUUUAUACAUGUUAGAGGGUAAAGUGGGAAAAAAUAUCGAUAAUUGAAGAGUUCAUUAUCUACAUAUUUGGAUUAACGUGUGAAACAUCGUCCUUUAUUACCAAUUUUUGGCCUUUUUUGGCCUAUUUGAAUUUUUUUAGGCCCUUAACCGUCCGAUGGCAA